GGCAGCGGGUUCUUUGGUCUGUUUGGUCAGAUUUUUAGACUGUAAAUUGAUACUACAUUAGAGUCCAGGUCAAGGUCGAUUAGGGCUAAUAUUUUGAGGCUAUUUGUAAAGCCGAUGAUAUGAUUUUUCUUGGUGUAAAUCUAAUUCUUGUAAAACGAUCUCGUGUUCUCUCUUGGGAGGUUCUUUGCAUAGUGACGGGCUUGGGUUGUUUUGCCUCUGAGCCCCCCAGAUUAGGCUUGGCCGAACUGGGUGAACAAU
rnacentral:lncRNA from 1 species